rnacentral:rRNA from 1 species
AUUGAACGCUGGCGGCAGGCCUAACACAUGCAAGUCGAACGAGUGGCGGACGGGUGAGUAAUGUCUGGGAAACUGCCUGAUGGAGGGGGAUAACUACUGGAAACGGUAGCUACUACCGCAUAACAUCAGAUGUGCCCAGAGUGGAUGAGCUAGUUGGUGGGGUAACGGCGCACCAAGGCGACGAUCCCUAGCUGGUCUGAGAGGAUGACCAGUCACACUGGAACGGAGACACGGUCUAGACUAGUACGAGAGGCAGCAGUGGGGAAUAUGCCACAAGGGGCGCAAGCCUGAUGCAGCCAGGCCGCGGGUAUGAAGAAGGCCUUCGGGGUGUAAAGUACUUUCAUCGGGGAGGCGUUACCCGCAGAAGAAGCACCGGCUAACUCCGUGCCAGCCGCCGCGGUAAUUC